UACGUAGGGGGCGAGCGUUGUCCGGAAUUACUGGGUGUAAAGGGCGUGUAGGCGGGGAUACAAGUUACCGGUAAAAACCCGAGGCUCAACCACGGGCUUGCCGAUAAAACUGUAUCUCUUGAGUAUAGGAGAGGGAAGUGGAAUUUCCGGAGUAGCGGUGAAAUGCGUAGAUACCGGGAAGAACACCAGUGGCGAAGGCGGCUUCCUGGCCUAUCACUGACGCUGAGGCGCGAAAGCUAGGGUAGCGAACGGG
rnacentral:rRNA from 1 species